CUCUUAACCUUGUGGUCGUGGGU
rnacentral:misc_RNA from 1 species